CCCACUUUGGUUCAGUGGCUGAACCGACCGCGUCCUAAAAAAAAUUACGGAAGCGGGAGGUCGAGGGUUCAAAACCCCCUGGUGGCA